GCGGCGAGCGAACGGGGACCAGCCAAGCCUUGAGAGUGACUAGAACAUGUUGGGAAGCAUGGCCAUAGCGGGUGACAGCCCCGUAUAGGAAGCUCGAUAGGAUGUAUUAAGUAGGGCGGGACACGUGAAAUCCUGUCUGAAGAUCGGAGGACCACCUUCGAAGGCUAAGUACUCCUUACUGACCGAUAGCGAACCAGUACCGUGAGGGAAAGGUGAAAA
rnacentral:rRNA from 1 species